UUACCUUAGAAUGCCAGUCGUUCUUACUUCAGUCUUCGUACAGUCUUUGCUUUAACCCGUUCCAAUUCUGUCCGCCGUUCGUACGCUCGCUCGCUCGUUCGCUCUAUAGAAAUCAUAUGUAGUAUAAAAGCAACAACAACAAGAACAACUACUGGCACAAUAAUAACAACAGCAACAACAAACACACACACCUGGCUAUAGAAUAACACGCACACCGUUCAGUCGCUUCUCAGAGCUGAGUUUGAGUUGAGUUCUAGAGCUCUUGGCUAUCAUCAUCAACAGAGUAGCCGUAGUCAGUAGUAGCCGCAUCGCCGCCGAGCCGCCGCCGCUGUCGUCGUCGCCGCUGUCGCCGUCGCCGUCGCAGCCAGCACACACAUCACAAACCAACCACCACUACCACCACCACCACUACCAACACCAACACUACCACCAACGCAAACCCCCAUAACAGCAGCAGCAACAACAAUAACAGAAGCAGAAGCAGCAGCAACACACACACAACCACACGCGCGUUCGCUCACUCACGAAAAUUUCAAUAUCCAAAUCAAAGUUGAGUUCAAAUCGAAAACAGCCGCAAUACCAGCAACAACGUCUCGCAAAUAGCACGCGUACAUUAAAAAACACACGCAGCAUAUCAAAUAGUCAAAAAAAUCGCCAAGUUCGGAAUAAAUAAAUAAAUCUUCAAACUACAAAAAAUAAAAAAUCUAAAUAACAAUAAACCAAAUAAAUAAAUUUGAUCAAAAAAUACGCAAACUUUUCCAUACGGCUUUUCUCGACUUUUCACUUUGCGUGAGUGCUAAAAAUAAAAAUAUCAGAAGAAACAAAUAUCUACAAAUACUUAAAUACUUGAACUCCCAACUCGAACUUAAACUCAAAAGCUAUCAGUGUAUCGCUAUUUUGUAUCUUCUAACACUCAACAACAGCAACAACCACAAGAUAGCCAUAAUUACAAGUAACCACACAACAACGACAACAAAAGCAACAACUACAAAACGCAUUAGCAACAUUUAAAGCGGCAAAGUUACAUAUAAUAAAAUAUUAAAAAAAAUAAUAAAGACAAAACACAAAUAUCUAAAAAAAAACACCAACAAAAAAUCAAGAACAACCUUUAACAAAGAAAAAAAAGAAAAAGAAUAAUAAAAAACAGCACUUCAUCUACUUCAACGACUUUGUCUCGACAUUUAAUUGUAAACAAGCUCACCAAACACACAAGCACUUAACUCUCGACUACCCAAAACCCGUGCAAUUCCCACAUCAAGAAAAUACCAAAUAAAAUACAAGAAAAUUCCCAAAAAUAAUAAUAAAACGCAAGACAAAUACAACAAUUAAUAAAUAAGAACAAAUUAAGAGCAACAAAGCGAAAACGUAACGCAACUUAAAUAAAACU